rnacentral:rRNA from 1 species
UACGAAGGACCCGAGCGUUAUCCGGAUUUAUUGGGUUUAAAGGGUGCGUAGGCGGAUUUACAAGUCCGUGGUGAAAUCCUGCAGCUUAACUGCAGAACUGCCGUGGAUACUAUCUAUCUUGAAUGUCGUGGAGGUUAGCGGAAUAUGUCAUGUAGCGGUGAAAUGCUUAGAGAUGACAUAGAACACCCAUUGCGAAGGCAGCUAACUACGCGAUAAUUGACGCUGAUGCACGAAAGCGUGGGGAUCAAACAGG